rnacentral:misc_RNA from 1 species
GAUGAAGAACGCAGCGAAAUGCGAUAAGUAAUGUGAAUUGCAGAAUUCAGUGAAUCAUCGAAUCUUUGAACGCAACUUGCGCUCCUUGGUAUUCUGAGGAGCAUGCCUGUUUGAGUGUCAUUAAAUUCUCAACCGCACUGACUUUGAAUUGGUGUGGCUUGGAUUUGGGGGGAAAAUUGUUGUGGGCUUUUUUGUAUAGUCUGCUCCCCUGAAAUUGAUUAGCGGUACCUUUGUGGAACUGUCUACAGGUGUGAUAAUUAUCUACAUCCUAGACAUCUGCUGGAAUGCUGCCUUCUAAACCUUACUUGUAUUGACAAUCUUGACCUCAAAUCAGGUAGGACUACCCGCUGAACUUAAGCAUAUCAAUAAGCGGAGGA